AGAGUUUGAUCCUGGCUCAGAUUGAACGCUGGCGGCAUGCCUUACACAUGCAAGUCGAACGGCAGCACGGGAGCAAUCCUGGUGGCGAGUGGCGAACGGGUGAGUAAUAUAUCGGAACGUAUCCAAUAAUGGGGGAUAACUAAUCGAAAGGUUGGCUAAUACCGCAUACGCCCUGAGGGGGAAAGCUGGGGAUCUUCGGACCUAGCGUUAAUGGAGCGGCCGAUAUCUGAUUAGCUAGUUGGUGGGGUAAUAGCCUACCAAGGCGACGAUCAGUAGCUGGUCUGAGAGGACGAUCAGCCACACUGGAACUGAGAGACGGUCCAGACUCCUACGGGAGGCAGCAGUGAGGAAUAUUGGUCAAUGGGCGCAAGCCUGAACCAGCCAUGCCGCGUGCAGGAUGAAGCAUCUAUGGUGUGUAAACUGCUUUUAUACGGGAAGAAACCCUGCCACGUGUGGCAGAUUGACGGUACCGUAAGAAUAAGGACCGGCUAACUCCGUGCCAGCAGCCGCGGUAAUACGGAGGGUCCAAGCGUUAUCCGGAAUCAUUGGGUUUAAAGGGUCCGUAGGCGGCCCGGUAAGUCAGUGGUGAAAUCUCCCCGCUCAACGGGGAAACGGCCAUUGAUACUGCCGGGCUUGAAUUACCAGGAAGUAACUAGAAUAUGUAGUGUAGCGGUGAAAUGCUUAGAUAUUACAUGGAAUACCAAUUGCGAAGGCAGGUUACUACUGGUAUAUUGACGCUGAUGGACGAAAGCGUGGGUAGCGAACAGGAUUAGAUACCCUGGUAGUCCACGC
rnacentral:rRNA from 1 species